rfam:Agarivorans albus MKT 106 DNA, contig: contig00018.
AGGUAGUGAUAGUGUUAAAGGCUCAGAAAUUUUAAAGCCCCGCUUCAUCGGGGCUUUUUGUUAUUUUCUCGCCGCACCUUAGGUGCUAGAACUGGGCUUUACGCCCUUUUUUU